CAGACUGCCCAGCCAAGUACCGAGGCCUUGGCCAUCCCUAUAAGUCAGCAGCCUUGAACUGUAAACCUUCCACACCCUCUUCAAGUGACUUAGAGCAGCACCAACUGUCACCAUGAAAGCUCUAGUCUCUUCCCUCCUUCUAUUGCCGCCACUAACGCUGACAUAGGUGGUCGCCAGCAGCCCAAAUCCAGUGGUUGCCAGAGGCCCCAGGGACCAAUGCCAGGCUUCUGGGAGGCAGGAUCCUGGCAGGCUGCCAAGAAUGUGAGUGCAAAGAUUGGUUCCUGAGAGCCCCUAAGAGAAAACUCAUGACAAUACCUGGGCUGCCACAGAAGCAGUGUCCCCGUGAUAAUUUCAAAGUCAAUGUGAAGAAAACCAGUAAGUUUCAAAAGAAAGACCUUUCUUAAAGCAAAGUCCCUCUGUGAAAUCAACCAAGGAUAAAGCAGGGGUUAAGAAUAGACAAGAGAGGUGAAAUGAAGACCAGGAUAAGCACAUAUCUCAGCCCCUCCUACUC